CGUGCAUCACUCUCAUUCACUCCAUCCUCUGUUUCCCUUCCCACGAGAGACCACCAUGAGAGCUGAGAGAUAGAGAGUCUGCUUCAGCUUCAGCCACCUCGUCGCCAGUGCGGAGACCCGUUCAGCUUCAGCCAGUGCGGCACUCACCACCGCAACCACACCAGUGCGCCACUCACCACCGCCAAGAAGCACAUCCAUCGAAGAUUCAAGUCGCCUCCUCGUCGCCUACUGCAUCCUGCUCGUCAGUCGUCAGUCGUCACCUCCGGUCUCCCUCUUCUCUGCUCGUCCCUCCAUCCCUCCAGGGUCCAUGUGACUUGGUAGUAUGUCCAUAAGGAACAACUUGUAGGAAGCCAUACCUAUUAAGAUUCAGCUCAUUGUUUGCUGUGUUGCUGAUGAAAUAGUUUCUGUGGCUAUGAAUGCUCAUGUCAGCAUGUUCUAUGGGACUACAGCGGCAGGCUUGAAGUGUUUGGAUCCCAUCUUUUUCUUCAUGAAUCCUCGGCCAUGUUACCACAUUCACAUUAUGUUUAUUUUCGUAUUACUACUUAUUUUUAGGAUUUGAGACUUAAUGUUUAUUAAAAUGUUAUUAGAGAUAUGUUUUUUCACUGUUAAUUUUUAAGUUUUUAGCUAUUUUAUACGUUUUACUUAUGUGGGACCGGGUUAACUGGUUCAACCAGUGAUCUACCGGUUGAACUAGUGAUCCAGUGACCCAGUAACUUGACCGAUUCGAUCACCGUUUCGGUUCUAACAA